rnacentral:rRNA from 1 species
CGGGGGGCAGCAGUGGGGAAUAUUCUGCAAUGGGCGAAAGCCUGACAGAGCAAUACCGCGUGAGGGAUGAAGGCCUGUGGGUCGUAAACCUCUUUUUUCAAGGAGGAAAUUUUGACGUGUACUUGAAGAAUAAGCAUCGGCUAACUCUGUGCCAGCAGCCGCGGUAAGACAGAGGAUGCAAGUGUUAUCCGGAAUUACUGGGCGUAAAGCGUUUGUAGGUUGUCUAAUAAGUCAAUUGUUAAAUCUUGAGGCUUAACUUCAAAACAGCAAUUGAUACUGUUAAACUUGAGUAUGGUAGAGGUAAAAGGAAUUUUCAGUGGAGCGGUGAAAUGCGUAGAUAUUGGAAAGAACACCGAUGGCGAAAGCAUUUUACUGGGCCAUAACUGACACUCAGAAACGAAAGCUAGGGGAGCAAAUGGGAUUAGAUACCCGCGU